rnacentral:rRNA from 1 species
UACGUAGGGGGCUAGCGUUAUCCGGAAUUACUGGGCGUAAAGGGUGCGUAGGUGGUUUCUUAAGUCAGAGGUGAAAGGCUACGGCUCAACCAUUGUAUGCAUUGGAAACUGGUAGACUUGAGUGCAGGAGAGGAGAGUGGAAUUCCAUGUGUAGCGGUGAAAUGCGUAGAUAUAUGGAGGAACACCGGUGGCGAAAGCGGCUCUCUGGCCUGUAACUGACACUGAGGCUCGAAAGCGUGGGGAGCAAACAGG